rnacentral:tRNA from 1 species
GAUUAUAUAGUCUAAAAAGGAUAUUAAAUUGCAAGUUUAAAGGUAAAUUUAUUGUUUAUAGUCU